CGCACGGUGGCUUAGUGGUUAGCACGUUCGCCUCACACCUCCAGGGUCCAGUGUUCGAUUUCUGCUGUGUGU